rnacentral:rRNA from 1 species
CGAGAAGGCAUCUUUUUUCAGUUAAAGCUUCGGCGGUCAGAGAUGGGCAUGCGUAACAUUAGCUAGUUGGUGAGGUAACUGCUCACCAAGGCUACGAUGUUUAGGGGGUCUGAGAGGAUGGUCCCCCACACUGGUACUGAGACACGGACCAGACUCCUACGGGAGGCAGCAGUGAGGAAUAUUGGUCAAUGGGCGAAAGCCUGAACCAGCCAUGCCGCGUGAAGGAUGACGGCCCUAUGGGUUGUAAACUUCUUUUAUACGGGAAGAAACCUCUCUACGUGUAGAGGGUUGACGGUACCGUACGAAUAAGCAUCGGCUAACUCCGUGCCAGCAGCCGCGGUAAUACGGAGGAUGCAAGCGUUAUCCGGAUUCAUUGGGUUUAAAGGGUGCGCAGGCGGAGAAUUAAGUCAGUGGUGAAAUCCUGCAGCUUAGCUGUAGAAUUGUCAUUGAUACUGGUUUUCUUGAAUGCAGUUGAGGUAGGCGGAAUGUGUAAUGUAGCGGUGAAAUGCUUAGAUAUUACCCAGAACACCGAUUGCGAAGGCAGCUUACUAAACUGUGAUUGACGCUGAGGCACGAAAGCGUGGGGAGCGAACAGGAUUAGAUACCCUGGUAGUCCACGCUGUAAACUAUGAUCACUCGUUGUUGGCAAUACAUCGUCAGCGACUUAGCGAAAGCAUUAAGUGAUCCACCUGGGGAGUACGAUCGCAAGAUUGAAACUCAAAGGAGUUGACGGGGGCCCGCACAAGCGGAGGAACAUGUGGUUUAAUUCGAUGAUACGCGAGGAACCUUACCUGGGCUUAAAUGCAUAACGACGGACCGGGAAACUGGUCUUUCUUCGGACGGCAUGCAAGGUGCUGCAUGGCUGUCGUCAGCUCGUGCCGUGAGGUGUCGGGUUAAGUCCCAUAACGAGCGCAACCCUUAUCAUUAGUUGCCAGCGGGUAAUGCCGGGGACUCUAAUGAAACUGCCGGUGUCCACCGAGAGGAAGGUGGGGAUGACGUCAAGUCAGCACGGCCCUUAUGUCCAGGGCUACACACGUGUUACAAUGGUCAGUACAGAGGGAAGCUA